UACGUAGGGUGCAAGCGUUAAUCGGAAUUACUGGGCGUAAAGCGUGCGCAGGCGGUUCUGAAAGUCAGCUGUGAAAGCCCCGGGCUUAACCUGGGAAUUGCGGUUGAAACUACAGGGCUAGAAUCUGGCAGAGGGAGGUGGAAUUCCACGUGUAGCAGUGAAAUGCGUAGAGAUGUGGAGGAACACCGAUGGCGAAGGCAGCCUCCUGGGCCAGCACUGACGCUCAUGCACGAAAGCGUGGGGAGCAAACAGG
rnacentral:rRNA from 1 species